CCUACGGGAGGCAGCAGUGGGGAAUAUUGCACAAUGGGGGAAACCCUGAUGCAGCGACGCCGCGUGGGUGCAGAAGUAUUUCGGUACGUAAAGCUCUAUCAGCAGGGAAGAAAAUGACGGUACCUGACUAAGAAGCCCCGGCUAACUACGUGCCAGCAGCCGCGGUAAUACGUAGGGGGCAAGCGUUAACCGGAUUUACUGGGGGUAAAGGGAGCGUAGACGGCGGGGCAAGUCUGGUGUGAAAGGCCGGGGCCCAACCCCGGAACUGCGUUGGAAACUGGCAAGCUGGAGUGCGGGAGGGGUAAGCGGAAUUCCUGGUGUAGCGGUGAAAUGCGUAGAUAUCAGGAGGAACACCGGUGGCGAAGGCGGCUUACUGGACCGUAACUGACGUUGAGGCUCGAAAGCGUGGGGAGCAAACAGGAUUAGAUACCCUUGUAGUC
rnacentral:rRNA from 1 species